rnacentral:tRNA from 1 species
GGCUCGGUAGCUUAGUUGAUAAAAGCGCUCGUCUGGCAUACAAGAGACCUGGGUUUAAAUCCCAGCCGAGCAC